GCACUGUUGGUGUAGUGGUAACAUCUAAGCUUCCCAUGAGGAACUUGCUUAGGCGCCGCGUUCGAUUCGCGGGCAGUGCA